rnacentral:rRNA from 1 species
UACGUAGGGUGCGAGCGUUAAUCGGAAUUACUGGGCGUAAAGUGUGCGCAGGUGGCCGCGCAAGUCGAGUGUGAAAAUCCCCCGAGCUUAACUUGGGAAUUGCGCUCGAAACUACGUGGCUCGAGUGUGGCAGAGGAAGGUGGAAUUCCACGUGUAGCGGUGAAAUGCGUAGAGAUGUGGAGGAACACCGAUGGCGAAGGCAGCCUUCUGGGCCAACACUGACGCUCAUGCACGAAAGCGUGGGGAGCAAACAGG